rnacentral:rRNA from 1 species
UACGGGGGAGCAAGCGUUGUUCGGAUUUACUGGGCGUAAAGGGCGCGUAGGCGGUCGUGACAAGUCACUUGUGAAAUCUCCGGGCUUAACUCGGAACGGUCAAGUGAUACUGUCGGGCUAGAGUGCGGAAGAGGCGAGUGGAAUUCCUGGUGUAGCGGUGAAAUGCGCAGAUAUCAGGAGGAACACCAAUUGCGAAGGCAGCUCGCUGGGACGUUACUGACGCUGAGACGCGAAAGCGUGGGGAGCAAACAGG